CACCACCUUUGAUAUCGAGUUGGCCCAGCAACAGCACCAGUCCGGCCUGCAGGAGCCCCAGUCCAGGACGACCCAUCCACUCCCCUGACCCAUAACUCAUCAUACUUGAUAUUUGAAAAAAUGGGGCCUUAUGCAUGUGCUUAAAUUGUUAUCACAGAUAAGCCUAUGCAGUUUGCACAGGCUAAUAAUGGACAACAUUUUUCUCUUUAAGCAGAGCACCAGCAUUGAUAUCGAGUUGGCCCAGCAACCGCACCAGUCCCGUCUGCAGAAGCCCCAGUCCAGAACGACCCUUCCCCUCCCUUGACUUCUAACUCCUCCCCCUUGACCGCCUGCCUAAAAAAGUCAGCAUCAUUGAACAACUCCGUUGUGCAGGAAAUUCUUAGCAUGAUUCUGUUCUGAACAAACGCAAUGCCAACGUCAAGUUGUCCACACAUAAGCCUGGGUAGUUUUGUUAAGCUAGAGUUCCCCGUGGGCCUGAGAGGGACGAGUGUUACAGACACGAAAAGUUAUAGCAGUAGUUAUGGUAACGCUAACAGUCAGUUGUUGCUGUUGGACAUCACAACAAAUAUCAUGAAGAAUAAAAAUUUCAAUAAGUUGUUCCAAUCUUUAUGGGACAAACAGAAAUUGAACGGAAGAAAAUCAAGGAACAAUAAAAGCGUACGCUUUCCUAGUGGGAUCCAUCUGCUGUUGAUAGUUUGAACAAUAGUAGGGUUACGGACUGCCCCAGAUUGUCCUCUCAGCGGCCUGAAUAUCAUAAUAGAACGGACUUUUGGCAAUAUUUCUGACAAAGAAAGGCAACUUGGUUGUGAAUACCCAGAGCACGAUACAUCCGUGCUGACAAAGAAAGGCGGUAAUGACUUGGUUGUGAACACCCAGAGCGCGAUACAUCAAUGCUGACACAGUAAGGCAGUAAUGACUUGGUUGUGAACACCCAGAGCACAAUAUAUCCAUGCUGACACAGAAAGGCAGUCAUGACUUGGUUGUGAACACCCAGAGCACAAUACAUACAUGCUGACACAGAAAGGAAGGAAUGACUUGGCUGUGAACACAGAACACGAUACACCCAUGCUGGCGCAGAAAGGCAGUAAUGACUUGACUGUGAAAACAGAGCACAAUACAUCCAUGCUGAAACAGAAUGGCAGUCAUGACUAUGCUGUGAACACCCAGAGCACGAUAUAUCCAUGCUGACACAGAAAGGCAGGAAUGACUAUGCUGUGAACACCCAGAGCAAGAUAUAUCCAUGCUGACACAGAAAGGCAGUAAUGACUAUGCUGUGAAAACCCACAGAAAGAUAUAUCCAUGCUUACACAGAAAGGCAGUAAUGACUUGGUUUUGAACAACCAGAGCAAGUUAUAUCCAUGCUGACACAGAAAGGCAGUUAUGACUUGGCUGUGAACACAGAACACAAUACACCCAUGCUGUGAACACAGAGCACAAUACAUCCAUGCUGACACAUAAAGGCAGUAAUGACUUGACUGUGAGCACAGAACACCAUACAUCCAUGCUGAUACAGAAAGGCAGUAAUGACUUGGCUGUGAACACAGAGCACAAUACAUCCAUGCUGACACAGAAACGCAGUUAUGACUUAGUUGUGAACACAGAGCACAAUACAUCCUUGUUGACACAGAAAGGCAGUAAUGACUUGGCUGUGAACACAGAGCACAAUACAUCCAUGCUGACACAGAAAGGCAGUUAUUACUUGGUUGUGAACACAGAGCACAAUACAUCCUUGUUGACACGGAAAGGCAGUUAUGACUUUGCCGUGAACUGAGAGCACGAAACAUUCAUGCUGACACAGAAAGGCAGUAAUGACUUGGAUGUAAACACCCAGAGCACAAUACAUCCAUGCUGGCACAGAAAGGCAGUAAUGACUAUGCUGUGAACACCCAGAGCACAAUACAUCCAUGCUGAAACAGAAAGGCAGUAAUGACUUGGUUGUGAACACAGAGCACAAUACAUCCUUGUUUACACAGAAAGGCAGUAAAGACUUUGUUAUAAACACUAAGAUAUCCAUACAUCCAUGGGGUGUGCCACAGACGCAAAUUACGCCCACCAUUUUGAACAAGGUGCUUAAAGUGAACACGUCUGGUUUUGCUAUGAGCACUUAGCACUCCGAGUUCAAAAGGCCUCACAUUGAAUUGAUGCAAGAGAAGGCUUUGAAAAAUAACAGCAGUUUUGUUGUGUGGUCCAGUACGCCCCCCGACUCGCAACCUGAAGAAAGCAGAACUCAAACUCGUCUCUUAGCAAUAUCAGCAAGGCCAGCAUGUCAUCUCAGCUUCUAGAGCUUCAGUGAACUUUACGAGCAAACAUGACUAACGUCAUUGAAGUGAAAGUCGAUGAAAACCCCCCUUCUUGCACAAAUACUACAACUCGCUUAAGAAAUUCAGCACAACGACGUCUUGCGUCAGACUACCAAGCCUCCUAUCAAUAUCUCCUCCCAUGUUGGCUUCAGCAACACUUCCAACAGCAGAGCCUUGGUGAGUUGGACUUCCGUCUCAGCAUCGAUGUCGCUUAGCAACAAUUGGAUGAUGGGCGUCGACAAAUUAGGCCGGACAAGUCGCUCAAACUGAAAUGAUCUGAUCUAACAGAGCCUGUUUCUACAGGAACCUAUGCAAUCAUAGAUCGGUACCUAGCUGAACAACAUGCUCUCUGGUCAGCUGGGCCCAGACGCCCAGGGACACCUCCUGGCCCAGGACCUUUGGACAAAUGUUCAAAUAGUACUACCCACAGGAUGAAGCCACUCUGAAUCCGGGGCUCCAUACUUUCUUGGCCAGGGGACAAGACUACCUCGUCAAUAAGGGACACAUUUCUGGGAUGCGCUUUGAUCUUUUUUAUGUCCCCGACUAUAGUAGUGGGGGACAUAUUCUUUUUGCCCUGUCUGUUGGUCUGUCUGUUGGUCUGUCUGUUUGUGCCAACUUUAACAUUUUGCAAUAACUUUUGCAAUAUUGAAGAUAGCAACUUCAUAUUUGGCAUGCAUGUGAAUCUCAUGAAGCUGCACAUUUUGAGUGGUGAAAGGUCAAGGUCAUCCUUCAAGGUCAGAGGUCAAAUAUAUGUGGCCCAAAUGCUCAUUUUAUUAAUAAUUUUGCAAUAUUGAAGAUAGCAACUUGAUAUUUGGCAUGCAUGUGUAUCUCAUGGAGCUGCACAUUUUCAGUGGUGAAAGGUCAAGGUCAUGGUCAUCCUUCAAGGUCAGAGGUCAAAUAUAUGUGGCCCAAAUCGCUUAUUUUAUGAAUUAUUUUGCAAUAUUGAAGAUAGCAACUUGAUAUUUGGCAUGCAUGUGUAUUUUAUAGAGCUGCACAUUUUGAGUGGUUAAAGGUCAAGGUCAUCCUUCACAAGUUCAAGGUCAUCCUACAAGGUCAAAUGUCAUAUAGGGGGACAUUGUGUUUCACAAACACAUCUUGUUUCUGUUCACAGAGGCCUUAUACUCACAAGUUCAAGCCCAGUGAGCGAUGUUCACCAAAUCCUACUCUACAUCUCAAUAGAAACCCGGAUAGCAAGGCGUUGAGUUUGUUCUUAAAGCAUUUGCACCAGAAGAAGUCAGCAUCUUGAUAUUCUGGAAUCUCCAUGGUGAAGGACCCUCAGUCUGUGAACAAAAUGCAGAGCGAACCUCAGAUGCCUUUUGACGAAAUCAAACCAUCCAAUCAGAAACACAGACUGCAUGUCACAGCAGUUGUUACCAUAUUGACCCUAGUCAAACGUAAGAAGCUCAGAGAUAAAUACUGAUUUAGUUCUGCUUGUCUCUACAUACCUCCUGGUUUGGUCAGCACUUACUCUGACUCUUUGAAUAUUAUGACAGAUAUGGAAAUGAAUGACCUUGUUCAGAUCGAAAUGGCAGAAUGACACAUCACAAGAAUUCAAGCGAAAAGCCAGAAAUCAUAUCAACAGCCACAUUUUGUAUGUCACCCGUCAAGUUGUAUUCAAAGACGAACAAUAGUUUCUGCUCUAUUUUGUAUGUGACCAGUCAAGUUGUACUCAAAGAAAAACAAUAGUUUUCGUUUUAUUUUUUAUGUGACCAACCAAGUUGUUUGUAUAGGUCCCUGGUUUAACAAAGCAUUUAAAGUAUUUUUAAAUUGAUGAAACUUUCACAACAGAUGUUGAUCCUGAUUAUGGUAAAUAAAUGGGAAAUACAAUGUUAUCAAAGAUUUGUUAAGAUUGCCAAAGCUGUUUAAAUGAUGCUGGUAACUUGAACAAAAUUGAAAAAAAUAUUGGAGUGUUUUCAAGCUAUAAGACAUGUUUCAGUUGUCUGUUUUAACCCGUAGAUAUAGAUAAGCUAGCAAAAAAUAUUUGUUCAGAAAGAGGUAAAAUGUUUACGCUUCAGAUUUUUAUCUAUCAACCUUAUGAAAACAAUACUAGUCAAUUGGCUCAUUCGGGUCGGUUUUCGACCAUGAAUCUUGUUUAGUAGCAUACUAUGUAUUUCAUGGGAAUAUAAAUAAAUUCUGGGUGAAAUAAUUUAAUCUACCUUAAAUAAUCGAUUCUGUAUUUACUACUAGUACUUUGUUGAUUUAAAUGGAUAUUGUAUGUUAAAUGAUUAGAGUAUGACUCCUGUUGAAAAGCUUUAAAUGAAACUGUGAAUUAAAAAAUAUAUAUUAUUUUGUUUUAGAGUUUUAUGAAAAAUGGCAAAAGAUUGUUAAGUUGUGUUGUUUGAGUGUUAAAAUUUGUUUUUGGACAUAAUAGUUUAUUAUGCUUUAUGGUUGUAUAUGUACAUGAAGACGACCAGAUUGUAUCCUCUUUAAUCAGUGAGUAAUUUAAUCAAGAUUUUUUGAUCACUGUAUCAAGUGUAUAUGUUGCCAUUUAUACAUAGAGCAACUGUAAAACAAUUGUAUUUUAAAUGUAAAGUAUCCAUGUAUUGUUGCCAUUUUUAUAAGAUAAACUCACUGUUAACAUUUAUUUGUACAAACCAUUGUUUAAAAAACAUUUCUUGUGUCAAUGCUAAAAUAUGUAUUAA